rnacentral:rRNA from 1 species
GACGAACGCUGGCGGCGUGCCUAACACAUGCAAGUCGAGCGAAUGAAGUUCCUUCGGGAAUGGAUUUAGCGGCGGACGGGUGAGUAACACGUGGGCAACCUGCCUCAUAGAGGGGAAUAGCCUUCCGAAAGGGAGAUUAAUACCGCAUAAGAUUGUAGUACCGCAUGGUACAGCAAUUAAAGGAGCAAUCCGCUAUGAGAUGGGCCCGCGGCGCAUUAGCUAGUUGGUGAGGUAACGGCUCACCAAGGCGACGAUGCGUAGCCGACCUGAGAGGGGGAUCGGCCACAUUGGGACUGAGACACGGCCCAGACUCCUACGGGAGGCAGCAGUGGGGAAGAUUGCACAAUGGGGGAAACCCUGAUGCAGCAACGCCGCGUGAGUGAUGACGGCCUUCGGGUUGUAAAGCUCUGCCUUCAGGGACGAUAAUGACGGUACCUGAGGAGGAAGCCACGGCUAACUACGUGCCAGCCGCCGCCGUAA